CAGUCGCCGCGGGAAUACGGAGGGGGCUAGCGUUGUUCGGAAUUACUGGGCGUAAAGCGCGCGUAGGCGGUUACUCAAGUCAGAGGUGAAAGCCCGGGGCUCAACCCCGGAACUGCCUUUGAAACUAGGUGACUAGAAUCUUGGAGAGGUCAGUGGAAUUCCGAGUGUAGAGGUGAAAUUCGUAGAUAUUCGGAAGAACACCAGUGGCGAAGGCGACUGACUGGACAAGUAUUGACGCUGAGGUGCGAAAGCGUGGGGAGCAAACAGGAUUAGAUACCCCAGUAGUCCUGUCUCUUAUACA
rnacentral:rRNA from 1 species